CCAAAACAAACCAGAAGUGCUUAAAAUGAGGACGGGUAGCUCCGUGUACCAAUCAGAAUUUAAAACUGUAUCAAUUCCUGCUAUAGAAAGAGGCUUCUCCCCAGGACCAGGAUUCCACGAAGGCAGCCCUUUUCUAGAUGGAGAAAAUAGAACCUGAAGGCAGCCGUUUCCCUAAACUGCUCUCGCUCAUGUGAUCCUGUGCACUUUAUUCUUCCCUACCAGCCUCAGAAGCCACGUGCUGAAGACAGUGAAGUUCUGUCUGGGAAGAAGCAUCGAUCCCUAAAUGACUGCAUGGAGCAGAGCAGAGAUGUCUGCUCACUAAGUUGGUUCGAAGCUGAGGAGGAAAAAAAUUAGGUGCUAGGAUGCUGGAGAGAUCCUCAGAAACCCCUCUACAUGAAUCAUUUAAGUAGAUGAAGAGCUAGAUUGCAAUAAUCAUUGGGAGGAGAAGAAGAAUAAAACAUGAGAUUCCAUUCACAUCCCAGAAUUAAAGAAUUCACCGUCAAGAGGAAGAGGAGGCUGGGUACAGUGGCUCACGCUUGUAAUCCCAGCACUUUGAGAGGCCAAGAUGAGCAGAUCACUUGGGCCCAGGAGUUCAAGACCAGCCUGGACAACAUAGAGAAACCAUACCUCUACAAAAAAUACAAAAAUUAGCUGGGCGUGUUGGUACAUGCCUGUAGUCCCAGCUACUCAAGAGGUUGAGGUGGGAGGAUUGAUGGAGCCCAAGAGGUUGAUGCUGCAAUGAACCAUGAUUUUGCCACUGUGCUCCAGCCUGGGCAAGAGAGUGAGACCCUGUCUGGAAAAAAAAAGAGGAAGGGGAGACGAGCAGAUAAGCCGAUCAUGUCAAGAGAUGUCAGAAUGUUUCAUGAAUAAGAGCACAGCUUCUAUGUUGGAUACCCUGAAUUUGAAUCUCAGCAUGGCCACUUUGUAUAUAACCAGAGGAUGAAUUGGGGACCCAAUGGAUCUACCAUGACAUGAACCUGCACCAACAUUCACCUGACCUCCAAAAUGCCUAUUCUGACUGGUAGACCCUAGUCUCGCCCUAGUGCCAGUUCAGAGCCUGUGUCCAGUGAUCCUGCACAGGUCCCAUUAGUUCCUAUUCCCCUGUUCAGUCAUCCUGGUAAAAGGCUGUGUAUUCCUGUGGGGGCAGGCUGGGAGAAAGAUUGACAGUAUAAAUUUUUGGCAGUGGAGCAGAGUCCUUUCUGGAGGGGACCUGGCUUCACAUUCAGACAAGGGACUCCUGGUCUGUGAACUGGCUUAUGUCUGGGAAUUGACUGGGGACUGUGACUCUGUUUUUAUGAUUCAGGUUAGACUUCUGCUCACCUGACCUAGAACUCUUCUGCAAACACAGAUCAAGUAAAAAUGUGGCAGGCUUCUUAUCUAUUUCACUUCUAGGAAAGCCACGAUCAGCUGGCACCAUAGGUCUCUGCGAGUCAUGCUAUUCUGCUUGCAGCUUUGACUCUGCUGUCCUUUAUGGUAACUGCAUCCACCUUGCCUUUGGGGAUUGAGUGCUGCGGUCACUUGGCCCCGGCCCCUGUAGUGUGCCUAUGUCACUUACCCUCUUUAUACCUCAGUCUCCUCCUCUGUAAAAUGGGCAUCCUAAUAACACCCACCGCCAGGGCUGCUGUGAGGUAUAGAUGGAUUAGCAUAUGGAAAGUAAUAGAAGAGGGUCUCAAAGCCCAUGUGUCAUUAUCAGAAUUAUUUCAUGACAGGGGAGAGCUGGAGGAGAGGGGAAGGUGCUGAGCAGACCCAUGUGCUCUCCCACCAGUGUUUCCUGAGCACCUACUAUGUGCUGCCCACUGUGAGAGCUGUUAGGGUUGAAAUAGGGAGCACAGCAGGGUAGGGGCUGCCAUCAGGAGCUUAGUGGGGAGACCAUUGUGCAACAUGGUUCCAGCGCUUGGGAUGGGGAAGCUCAGGGAGUACAGGGGCCUAGGAUCCUGGGCAGAAUCAUGGAAAGGACACAGCCUCCCCAGCCUCUCCUGCCUCCACUGUCUCCCUGGCCUCCUCUG
rnacentral:lncRNA from 1 species